AUACCAGGUGCUGUAAUCAU
rnacentral:rRNA from 1 species